rnacentral:rRNA from 1 species
UACGUAGGGUGCAAGCGUUGUCCGGAAUUAUUGGGCGUAAAGAGCUCGUAGGCGGUCUGUCGCGUCCGCUGUGAAAAUCCAGGGCUCAACCCUGGACCUGCAGUGGGUACGGGCAGACUAGAGUGCGGUAGGGGAGAUCGGAAUUCCUGGUGUAGCGGUGAAAUGCGCAGAUAUCAGGAGGAACACCGGUGGCGAAGGCGGAUCUCUGGGCCGUAACUGACGCUGGAGGAGCGAAAGCAUGGGGAGCGAACAGG